rnacentral:misc_RNA from 1 species
GAAGUGAUGGAGAAAUAUGAUUCUAAUAUCAGCAACAUUCAGAAUUUGCGAGUUCAAGCUUGGGCACCUCCAAGAUAUUACCUGGAAGAGGUUUAUCCUGUCUUAUUUAAGCAGCGGGUUGUUCGUAUUUCCCCCUUUGCUAAUAGAUUGUCAAUGCAUCUUCCAUCUCAUCUUCAGUUCCUGAGAUGCUUUUCUAAUUAUGAAGCUUUAAAGUUCUCUCCAGC